rnacentral:rRNA from 1 species
CAGAGGGUGCGAGCGUUAAUCGGAAUUACUGGGCGUAAAGCGUGCGUAGACGGUUAUUUAAGUCGGGUGUGAAAGCCCCGGGCUCAACCUGGGAAUUGCAUUCGAGACUGAAUAGCUAGGGUACGGUAGAGGGAAGCGGAAUUUCCGGUGUAGCGGUGAAAUGCGUAGAUAUCGGAAGGAACAUCAGUGGCGAAAGCGGCUUCCUGGACCAGUACCGACGUUCAGGCACGAAAGCGUGGGGAGCAAACAGGAUUAGAUACCCUGGUAGUCCACGCCAUAAACGAUGAGGACUAGACGUUGGAGGGGUAAGCCUUUCAGUGUCGUAGCUAACGCGCUAAGUCCUCCGCCUGGGGAGUACGGCCGCAAGGUUG